rnacentral:rRNA from 1 species
GUCUGCAACCCGACUACAUGAAGCUGGAAUCGCUAGUAAUCGCGGAUCAGAUGCCGCGGUGAAUACGUUCCCGGGUCUUGUACACACCCGCCCGUCACACCAUGGGAGUCGGAAAUGCCCGAAGUCUGUGACCCAACCUUAGGGAGGGAGCAGCCGAAGGCAGGUCGGAUGACUGGGGUGAAGUCGUAACAAGGUAAC